CCUGGCUCCGGGUAGCGAUGAAACUCUUCCCGAUGAGGGGUACCUGCACCAUCCGGACCCUCUCUAAAUGGAGGGCAGCCACGCUCAGCGGGCCAGCCCCUGCCACCAGACAGGACUGAAGCCAGGCAGUGGAGCCUGUUCUUAGAGGCUGAAUCUGGAGUUUUCCUCACAAGUGAUUCCAGAAAGGAGGGUCCCCCCUCUUGGACCACUGUUGUGAGAUCUAAGAUUAUGAAGGCUCAGAUGAGUUCUUUGUGUCCCAGUUUCGUCUUUUGUGAAACAGAGCUGCUUAUGCCUACCAUGCAGGGCUGCCAGGAGGAUGAAGAGGGAUAAAGGUGCAAAAGUCCUGCUGUGUGGCUCUUACCUCCAUCGCUGCCACCCUCAGUGGACUAACAGGCCCCUACUAUCCUGAAAGUCUCCAGCAAACCAGAGCGCUUGUUGAGCACCUGCUCUAUGUGGGCAUCAUGCCAGCCUCUGGGACUGGAGGCAGAAGACAAACCUGGAACUGCCUGCUCUCAAGAGCAGAGGUGCAAACCCCACAUGCAUUAAACUAAACCAGUGGCUCCAACCUCCGGGAUAUGAUGAAUCCUUCCCAGGGAGUAAUAAAUCUGCAGCUGAGUGGUGAGAUACAGAUCCAAGCUCCAGAGGAGUUGAAGAACAAGAAAGGAGCUUGAGAAAUGGGUGGCACAGUGUCACUGAGGGGCUGGCACUGGCCCAGCCGUUUUGACUGGGAAGUGCACUUUGGGGUCUAACCUGAAUCUUUCCUGCUGCAAAAGGAUACUAUUUUCUCCUGAUCCCAUCAUCCCAAAGAUGGAUAUUAUGAAUUAGAAGCCGAGUGGACAAAUGUAAGGUAAGACUAGCAAAUAAUUAGAUGGACUUCCUUGUGGGACUCAGCAAUGACUUGGAAGGCAAUUCCCAAAGCAGAUCCAGCCAUGUCUGGAGCCCUGGCAGCGCUGAGCCCCCAUGAUGACACCCUGGAGGGGUGGUGUUGAUGGCAGUAGGUGAGCACGAGGCCAUUGGUGCCAAGAUCCAUCUCUCUGCUCCACAUGUACCCCUUGGAGAUGGAUUUUCAUUUAAAACAUAUUUUUAAGAAAUUUGGGAUUUGCUAGAGAUAAGGUCUGGACACACUCAGAAAGGACAGAAUUGACCUCGGUCUUAGCCCCCUUCCCCAGUUACUAAUUAUCACUGAGCUAACCAUCAGUGAACGUGACUGAGCUGCAUGACCCACGGAGCAGUUGGG
rnacentral:lncRNA from 1 species